rnacentral:rRNA from 1 species
AUGAUGCCCAGCUAUGCGUGAGGUGGAUAUAGUGGCGAACGGGUGAGUAACACGUGAGUAACCUGCCCCUGACUCUGGGAUAAGCGUUGGAAACGACGUCUAAUACUGGAUAUGAUCACUGGCCGCAUGGUCUGGUGGUGGAAAGAUUUUUUGGUUGGGGAUGGACUCGCGGCCUAUCAGCUUGUUGGUGAGGUAAUGGCUCACCAAGGCGACGACGGGUAGCCGGCCUGAGAGGGUGACCGGCCACACUGGGACUGAGACACGGCCCAGACUCCUACGGGAGGCAGCAGUGGGGAAUAUUGCACAAUGGGCGAAAGCCUGAUGCAGCAACGCCGCGUGAGGGAUGACGGCCUUCGGGUUGUAAACCUCUUUUAGUAGGGAAGAAGCGAAAGUGACGGUACCUGCAGAAAAAGCACCGGCUAACUACGUGCCAGCAGCCGCGGUAAUACGUAGGGUGCAAGCGUUGUCCGGAAUUAUUGGGCGUAAAGAGCUCGUAGGCGGUUUGUCGCGUCUGCUGUGAAAUCCCGAGGCUCAACCUCGGGCUUGCAGUGGGUACGGGCAGACUAGAGUGCGGUAGGGGAGAUUGGAAUUCCUGGUGUAGCGGUGGAAUGCGCAGAUAUCAGGAGGAACACCGAUGGCGAAGGCAGAUCUCUGGGCCGUAACUGACGCUGAGGAGCGAAAGCAUGGGGAGCGAACAGGAUUAGAUACCCUGGUAGUCCAUGCCGUAAACGUUGGGCGCUAGAUGUAGGGACCUUUCCACGGUUUCUGUGUCGUAGCUAACGCAUUAAGCGCCCCGCCUGGGGAGUACGGCCGCAAGGCUAAAACUCAAAGGAAUUGACGGGGGCCCGCACAAGCGGCGGAGCAUGCGGAUUAAUUCGAUGCAACGCGAAGAACCUUACCAAGGCUUGACAUACACCGGAAACGGCCAGAGAUGGUCGCCCCCUUGUGGUCGGUGUACAGGUGGUGCAUGGUUGUCGUCAGCUCGUGUCGUGAGAUGUUGGGUUAAGUCCCGCAACGAGCGCAACCCUCGUUCUAUGUUGCCAGCGGGUUAUGCCGGGGACUCAUAGGAGACUGCCGGGGUCAACUCGGAGGAAGGUGGGGAUGACGUCAAAUCAUCAUGCCCCUUAUGUCUUGGGCUUCACGCAUGCUACAAUGGCCGGUACAAAGGGCUGCGAUACCGUAAGGUGGAGCGAAUCCCAAAAAGCCGGUCUCAGUUCGGAUUGAGGUCUGCAACUCGACCUCAUGAAGUCGGAGUCGCUAGUAAUCGCAGAUCAGCAACGCUGCGGUGAAUACGUUCCCGGGCCUUGUACACACCGCCCGUCAAGUCAUGAAAGUCGGUAACUUCUCCGAAGCCGGUGGCCUAACCAUUGUGGA